UCUCAUCAUCGUUGUUUCUUCUCUCGACUCUCACCAUCUCAACCAGAGACGAGAUCCCAAUCGCCAAGCAUACCAUUUUGUAAACAGAGCAACGAGUGUUUGAAGAGACUCAAGAGUCAAGAGACUUGGAGAACAACAAGUGUUGGCUGACUUGAGAGUUUGAGUAAAGUUCUAUUUAUUAAAGUAGCUACAAAGUUGUGCCCAAGAGUUAUAUUUAUACUUUGCAUUUACAUUACAUGAAUGUUAACUUUGGUUUUUAAUUUCAGUGAAAGACAAAAAUGAAUAAAAGACACAUUUUGCA